AUUGAACGCUGGCGGCAGGCCUAACACAUGCAAGUCGAGCGGGGUUUUCGGACCUAGCGGCGGACGGGUGAGUAAUGCGUAGGAAGCUACCCGAUAGAGGGGGAUACCAGUUGGAAACGACUGUUAAUACCGCAUAAUGUCUACGGACCAAAGUGUGGGACCUUCGGGCCACAUGCUAUCGGAUGCGCCUACGUGGGAUUAGCUAGUGGGUGAGGUAAUGGCUCACCAAGGCGACGAUCCCUAGAUGGUUUGGGAGGAUGAUCAGCCACACUGGAACUGAGACACGGUCCAGACUCCUACGGGAGGCAGCAGUGGGGAAUAUUGGACAAUGGGCGCAAGCCUGAUCCAGCCAUGCCGCGUGUGUGAAGAAGGCCUUCGGGUUGUAAAGCACUUUCAGUAGGGAGGAAGCGUUGUGUGUUAAUAGUACACAGCGUUGACGUUACCUACAGAAGAAGCACCGGCUAACUCUGUGCCAGCCGCCGCCGUAAUAC
rnacentral:rRNA from 1 species